rnacentral:rRNA from 1 species
GGGUCAGUAGGUUGGUCGUGCCACCGGUACGUACUGGUCUCACUGAUUCCUCCUUCCUGAAGAACCGUAAUGCCAUUAAUUUGGUGUUGCGGGGGAACAGGACUGUUACUUUGAAAAAAUUAGAGUGUUUAAAGCAAGCUAACGCUUGAAUACAUCAGCAUGGAAUAAUGAAAUAGGACGAUCGAUCCUAUUUUGUUGGUUUCUAGGAUUGACGUA